UACGUAGGGAGCAAGCGUUGUCCGGAAUCAUUGGGCGUAAAGAGCGUGUAGGCGGCUUUACAGGUCCGUUGUGAAAACUCGAGGCUCAACCUCGAGACGCCGGUGGAAACCGUAAAGCUAGAGUCCGGAAGAGGAGAGUGGAAUUCCUGGUGUAGCGGUGAAAUGCGCAGAUAUCAGGAGGAACACCCGUGGCGAAAGCGGCUCUCUGGGACGGUACUGACGCUGAGACGCGAAAGCGUGGGGAGCAAACAGG
rnacentral:rRNA from 1 species